rnacentral:piRNA from 1 species
UCCCUCCUACACUGUGGUGUUCCCCUGAGC